rnacentral:rRNA from 1 species
CGCCUGUUUAUCAAAAACAUGUCUUUAAGUUUAUAUUUAAAGUCUGACCUGCUCAAUGAUUAUUUAAAUAGCCGCAGUAUUUUAACUGUGCUAAGGUAGCAUAAUAAUUAGUCUUUUAAUUGAGGUCUGGUAUGAAUGGUUGGACGAAAAACAUACUUUAUUAAUUUUUAAUUUUUAAUUUUUACUUUAAGUUAAAAUACUUAAAUAUUAAAGUGGGACGAUAAGACCCUAUAGAUCUUAAUAAUUUUAUUAUUUAUUUUUUUUUUGUUGUUUUAUUAAUUUAUUUAUUAAUUUUUUUUAGUUGGGGUGAUUACUAAAAUUUUAAACUUUAGUUUAUUUUUACAUUUGUUAUUGUUUUUUUUGAUCUUUUUUUUUGAUUAUAAGAUAAAGAUACCUUAGGGAUAACAGCGUUAUUUGUUUGGAGAGUUCUUAUUGAUAAAUGAGUUUGCGACCUCGAUGUUGGAUUAAAUUUUGUUUGUGGGGUAGGUUUUACAAUUCUAGGUCUGUUCGACUUUAAAAAUUUACAUGAUCUGAGUUCAGACCGG